rnacentral:rRNA from 1 species
CCUACGGGUGGCAGCAGUGGGGAAUCUUCCGCAAUGGACGAAAGUCUGACGGAGCAACGCCGCGUGAGUGAUGACGGCCUUCGGGUUGUAAAGCUCUGUUAAUUGGGACGAAUGGUUCUUGUGCGAAUAGUGCGAGGAUUUGACGGUACCGGAAUAGAAAGCCACGGCUAACUACGUGCCAGCAGCCGCGGUAAUACGUAGGUGGCAAGCGUUGUCCGGAAUUAUUGGGCGUAAAGCGCGCGCAGGCGGAUUGGUCAGUCUGUCUUAAAAGUUCGGGGCUUAACCCCGUGAUGGGAUGGAAACUGCCAAUCUAGAGUAUCGGAGAGGAAAGUGGAAUUCCUAGUGUAGCGGUGAAAUGCGUAGAUAUUAGGAAGAACACCAGUGGCGAAGGCGACUUUCUGGACGAAAACUGACGCUGAGGCGCGAAAGCCAGGGGAGCGAACGGGAUUAGAUACCCGGGUAGUC